GACGGAGGAUGCAAGCGUUAUCCGGAAUGAUUGGGCGUAAAGCGUCCGCAGGUGGCAGUUCAAGUCUGCUGUCAAAGACCGGGGCUUAACUUCGGAAAGGCAGUGGAAACUGAACAGCUAGAGUAUGGUAGGGGCAGAGGGAAUUCCUGGUGUAGCGGUGAAAUGCGUAGAGAUCAGGAAGAACAUCGGUGGCGAAGGCGCUCUGCUGGACCACAACUGACGCUGAGGCGCGAAAGCUAGGGGAGCAAACAGG
rnacentral:rRNA from 1 species